UUAGGGGUACUAAUAGUUUUGUCUGUCCGAAGAACACGUGGGAAUAGCAAGCGUCUUCAGUUUCGUAGAGCAUUGGUAACUGUGAAGCCUAAAUACGUUUUAUUUUCUACGUUUGCUGUGGACUGUUGGAAGUUACUGCAUUUCUUCCAUUUCGUUCUGUUUAGCGUAGCAGCAGAUCUUCCCUAACUAGCAAACCAUGGAAGCUUUCAACGAGGGAGGUACGCAGAUGGAAACUACUGAGAAGGGCUGUCCUGUCUGCGGUGCGGAGGAUAGCCGUACCACAUCGCUCCCAGCAGGAGCAUUGCCGGAGUCCUUAGAGUUAAAAAUCCGAGGUCAGAGAAAACGUGAAAUUUAUAGCCAAUUGUUCGUGGACUCUCUUGUGCGCAAUUAUAAGGGAGGGCUGUCGAAAGAGGACUACAGGGCUAAACUGCAGGCAAUUAGGCGAAAAGACCUUAUAAAGAGUAAAAAACAACUCAAUGAAGAAUUGCGCUUAGCCUUGGAAAGAAAGAAGCAACCACUCGCAGCGCGAACAAGGCACAAGAAACCGGAACUGCAAAACGGAGGUUGCGUUUGUUACGAAAUGGAGAAUCUGAAACAAAAAUGGCGGAAGUUUAAAAACGCUGUUGCAUUGGCAAACAAUGAACGUGAACGUGUCGAGGACGUUAGGAAGUGUUUAGAGAAGGCAGUAAUUUCAUAAGUUUUUUUUUUGUCUUUUACGAACUGCUCUCAAAUUCAACCGAGUUGUUCGUUCUUUAGUGACUGGCAUUUUUAUGCCCCGACUGGUGUUGUGUAAAACGUCAAAUGUGAACAUUGUGAAGAAAUACAUUGAACUUCUUCUUUAGUGUUUUAAUGCUCUAAUUAUAACAGUAUUAUACUCUUUGUGUAUUUAUUUGCCCUCCACCAACUAUCCAUGUGGUAAUAGUUGAAGCUGUUUGGGAAUCCACCACUAGAAUCAGUUUACUGUAAUGUAAUAGUAAUCCUAAAAUGCUUCCAUCGUAUAUUGUAAUAAUUUUGAUUUAGCAGCGUAUCAAACUUUUUGCCUCUAGGAAGUGUACAUGUUCAAAAUGCUCGUUGCGCAAAGAUUUGACUUUUAAGGCCAAGGUCUAUGGUUUUUUUUGUUUUAUUUUUAUUUUUUUUAUUUAAUAAUUAGUUCAUGUUCCCGAGAGGAAAUGAACAGUGUUCUUUGUAUUAGGAAAUUCUGAUACACAAAAUAUGACUCUCAUAGCUGUGGUGUAUUUGUGUAAGACAUUAAGUUCGGUAUAGACAUAUAGCUAAAGAUGGGCCAAUUCAAAUGUUGGGUACGAUUCGUUGGUGGCGUCAAAGGAAGGUAAAAAAAUUGGGACUGUAGGAAAAGUUCCGUGUAGAUGCAGAUUUUUUAAAAUAAUCUGGGAUGAGAUUUUUGUCAGUACCAACUCAUAUUUUAUGGUUUAGCAUCAUGGUAUUACAUUUAAUGCCAAACAGAAUCAUAGCUUUCUACAAUCGCAUUUCUUCUGCAAAUCAAUAAAGAAACGUGUGAGAGCAAUGCAAGAAGUUACUUGCAGGUAGUUUUGCAGUAUUCAAACUACUGUAUUACACAGUGGCAUUAUUCAUUUUCAUACUUUGUAUUAAAACUCUCUGCCUCAUUAUUAGCAACCUUCUUGGACAGAUUUUUCAAAUCGUUGUUUGAAAUUGUGCAGGACAAGUCUAUGUACGGGCCACUUAAAACAUUGCUACAUAUACGUAUGCUGAAUUAUGGUACUAAAAAGUGCAGCCUAAUAAAAAAGGGGCAUUAAAAUUUUUGUAUUUGCUUUGUAUGUGGUAGAUACAUGAAGUAUGAAUGCAAAACACUGUAUGCUUUUAUGGGCUGUUAAGAUAUUAACAAAGUACUUUUUAGGUUUAACAUCAUAAGUUAGUAUGUAUGUGGCUUUCCCUACCCUUGGUAAAAUUUUGUUGAAGAUAUACAUUUUUUAAAUUUAUAUAUAAUCAGAUUUUUAGGAAUAUGUCCUACUUAUAAUUUAUAUUAACACGUUGGAUUGCGUAUUAUUGUGUGGACCCUCAAUUGGAGGCUUUCUUGGCGCAUACCGAUGCAAAAAUCUUCUGAGUGAUCUGAAUGGUGGCAUCUUGUCACAGCAUUUCAGUGAGUUUUGAACCCAUCUUCUUUCCCUGGAGAUGGCGUUUGGAAAAUCACAAAGUUUGUGACAAGUUGAUGCAGCCACUCAGCUGAUCACCCAAGAAGUAUGGUGCAGAAUGUCACCAAUAAAUGUACCUACUUUAUCAUGCAAAUAUGUAAAGCUUUUUGUUACAUCUUGUGGGUUGAAAACUCCACGCUCUCCCUCCCCCACACUUAGAUAAUCAGUAGUAACCUGUUGUAGGGGCAAAUGUGCAAUCCUUUUUGUGACUCAAAUGGGUGAUAUACCUUUACAACUAUUCCCACAUGUAGUUCACAGAUUGAUAACCAUUGCAGAAUAAAUAUCAAGAAUUAUGAAUGUAAAUUAUUAUACCAGAAAAUAAAUUUAAGUUGUCAGAAA